UAAACAUUUGACAGUUUUUAAAGUUUAAAAUUGCUUUAAAUUUUUAAUAGCUAAAUUCUCCUUAGAUGUGAUUUAAAAAGCAUAUGUGAUCAUUAAAAUAACGACUACUUCAGACCCCUAUAAAGGAUUAAUAAGAUCUAAAAGUACUUCAAAUACACCGAGGCUUUUCGGCUGUGGAAGGGAGGCAUUCCUUGGACGUUUGGGGAGUGAAAUUCUUUUCACAUUUCCUGAUGUCCUUUCAGUUUCGUGGAAAUCGGUACCUUCUUCUACCAGAAACUGUUAAACUCCAAACUCUAAUAUAUCUUUAAUUGCUCAUAAAAUUUUGCUGUAAGCGGCACAAUAAAUUCUUUAGGAAAAAUGUUAAUUUCCCAAUUUAUGAUGACUCCAUUUUAGAAACGGCAAGAAUUGAGAGGCUAAAAUAAAUUCAGCAACCACUUCUCUUUGAAAGGUCACACAUCAUGGAAAGGGAACGCGUGGACUUCCAAGGUGUGUUAACUACGAUAAAACAGCUGCUCCCCGAAGGUUUCUAAACAGACGGGGGGUUGCCUGGGUGUGGAGUGGCCGCUGUCAGUCCGGAGAGCAGAGAACGUGCUGCUGAUCGCUGUCAGCUGCGGGCAAAUGAAGUCUGUUCUUUAUAUUUUUUAAAAACGAAAGGACAUGGAGAAACGGUCGGCCAGCGUGCUGCAUUUUAUUGGGGUGCGGGGGGGUGCUGCCGAUGCUGAGUCCCGCUCUGUGAUUUAUUUCUCAAACAUGCCUGUCCCACGGCCAGAGUUUCAUUUCUGUUGCUAGUUGUCACGCCAAGUUUGACAUAAAACUGAGUGAACUAAAGCAAAAGAUUUUGAAAAUUGCUUCAUUAUGCCGGGAAGGAAAAGGCUCCUUUCUGCGGACCCUCGCUCACAUCUCCUCGCUCGGCCUGAGACCCUGCAAAUAAAUGGCUUUACUCUGUUCACUGUUUUACUUCUAGCUAAACUAGCAGCGUUUCCUCUCCGCUUCCUCAACUAUCUCCACAAGGAAAACAAAAAGCUGCUUACCCAAGGCGAAUCGGCGCUGAGGGGCCCCCGCGGAAAUAAUCGAGGAGCCUUCGUCAAGUAGGACGCGUUACUGCAGGACGGCCCCUCCGAGUGGGACCCCAGGCCUGCAGCCACUCGGAGACAAAGACCAAAGAGCAAAAUUCCUAAGCCCGUUUGCCUCUCUACACAGUACUCCAGGCUCCUUAGCCGCUGGCUCCUCAAAAGGACACAGGGGGGUCACCCGAGCAGCGGCGGCUCACCCAGAGGCCGCUGCAAACUCCCAAUCUCAAGUUUACCCGGCCAGCUUUACAGCCAGCAGUAUCCCGGGGGUGCUGUGCAGGUUCCACGUAAGUUUUCACUCACACACAUCCUACCUACCGCCUGAAUUAGAUUAAAUGCAUCUGUCUGCUAAAUCCGCGAAUGCCUCGGACACAGGACAUUUUAGACUGUGAAUGUCCCUACGUUGGGAAAAGGGAAAUUAAACUGAAGUGCCCCGGCUUUCUGAGGCCGGCCGCUGGCCGAGGGCUGAGCCCAGGACGCCGCGGCCCGGCGGCCGAGCAGGAAGUCGCCGCUGCAUUCCCAUUAGGCCGAUCUUGGGAGAAAUCAGGAAAAAAUAACUGUAUGAGGCCGAUACUAUAAACAUCCUGGUCGAGUGCGAGCCUUCGCGUUUUUCAAAUACCUGACCUCGGGCUCCGUGUGGCUCACAGGCGCAGACCAAGUUUUUCCCCAGGAAACCGUCCAUCGUAACUCUCAUCAACAAAGCAGGUAGUCUGGCUCUCCUUUUUGAGAAUUGGAGCGCACUGUUUUAUACCAUGUACUGCGAAUAAUAUAAACGGUAGCGAGUUAGGGAAAGGCUUUUAAAAAACCAACCCGAGUAACCCCCAAUGGAAUCACCCGACGGCUGUUGCUUUCUUUGAAUACAGCGGAAUUUGAUUUCUGAAUUUGCAGCCAAGUUAUGUCCAGAUCCAUGUAAGAGGGGAUUUUUAAAAAAGAGUGUGUGUUUUCGAAUAUUGCUCUGACUCACCCAGUCUCUCGUUUUACCAAAUAAAAAUUGGGAGGAAGAAAAAGGCAUUAAAUUAACUUAUGACUGUGUAAGAGCAAGAAAAAAAAAAUCAGCUAAUCAAAAGGUUAGCUAGCGGUACGAUUAUACAAUGAUUUCAGGUGAAAAUUACAAAGCUAAUAUCCUGGCAUCCAGUCACUGCCUUCAGUAAUGAUACAGUUGUCAGAUUUGUAUUUGUACCCACGGAACAGAAGUUGUAAGUGGCAUAAUGGAAGAUAAUCUCCUUUUCUUUGUGGCUUUUUUUUUUUUAAUUCAAUGUUUUAAUCCGCCCGUUUAAUCACAAAACAUAUAUCACAUUAGUUAUACUAUUUCUAGUGUUUAGCAACGUGAUUAUAAAUAGAUUACAGUGCGGUUGUCGGAUGCAGUGUGUGUGCGUGGACAUAUCUCAAAGCCACGCAGCAUUUCUAGGCUCCGCAUUUGGAAACAGUUUUACGUGAGAAUAGUAACCGUAUAUUUCUUUGCAAAAAUCCCCAUUCGGCUGUUACACAGCUUGCUCAUUUCGGAAAAAUAAGAUUGGGUAUUAAAAGGGCCCGGUACCUGCAAUGUUUACAUCUCUGCCUUCGGUCCAGUCUUUUAAAGCAUUUUUUUUUUGCCCUGCAGCCCCAAAAGUUGCUAAACCACAAAACAUUUCUAAUCUAUUUUUUUUUUUUAAGUAGUUGAACCAUACAGUAUAAAGCUGGGGGAGAGGGGGAUUUUUAGCGGCAGUUAGAGGUUGGGUUCUUCCUUGACGCGGCCGGAGCGGGAGGGGAGACAGAGAGACGUGCGGCUUUGGAGCUGGCCCGACACACUUGGGAACGCGUUUCCUUACUCCACGCAUCCUCGUCAGGCGGGGGUGUGUGAAGAAAAUGAUAAAGGACUGGGCCAGGCAAGAGAGACUGUCCCCCCCCCCUGGGUGCCGCUAGAACGUGGGUGCGGCAUUCCGAGCCUCAGGCUUCCGAGGGCCAUCGUGUUCUGAGGAAGCGGCGCAGAAUGCCUGGGUUUCCAGCUCCAGGCCCCCGGUCCUUGAAGCCACCCGAGAGGGCCACCCUGCAUGGUCCUCAGGAGGAAGACACACCCCACUGUGGAAUCACCCGGGCUCGCCUGUCUCUGCUGGUUGUCAGCAGCCGUGGAAAGUGAAAGUUGGUCAGGAUUUCGACGAAAAGGCUAACUGGAAAACAUUUCUACUCCAUUUUCUAAAGCUGAAUUUUCUCAUAAAAAAAAAAAAAAAGUCAUCCCUAGAAAGAAGAGCCUACAGUGUGAUUCUAACAUUCGGGGAAGCAACUUUAGAAGAUUUCUUAAUAUAGCCUAGUGUGUUUCCCUGCCUCCCUCCCUUCCCCCAACAUGUGUAAGUCAUAGAGAGUGGGGUCAGUGAUGUGUGUGUGUGUCCAGCACAAUUCAAGGCCAAGGUCAUGGGGGUCUUGGGAGCCUCAGAGGCCCUGGCAGAGCUGCUCCAGCGGCCCCAGCCCAGCCUCGCCCAGUGUGGCCUGUUUCCCCUUCCUGGGCAGUCCAAUCCAACGUGGAAUGGAGUUUCCUGGGAAGCAGAGCACACGAGGAACUUUUGAAUUUACCAAUAGCAUAAAAAGUAUAUAUAUUUUUAUGA